AUGCUCGACGGGUACUUCAAGGCCGGCCGCGUCGACCACGCCCGCACGCUGUUCGACGGAAUGGCGGUGAAGACCAUCUCCGCGUGGACCCGCGUGGUAUCUGGGUACUGCCGCGCCGGGCGCGUCGAAGAGGCGCGCGCUGUGUUCGACGCGAUGCCGGCCCGCGACGUCGUCUCGUGGACGGCCAUGUUGCAGGGGUACGCGCGCAGCGGGAUGAUGAGGGAGGCGCGCGGGCUGUUCGACGCCAUGCCGGCCAGCGACUUCUUCUCUUGGACGGUGAUGUUACAGGGGUACGUGCGCAGCGGGAUGCUGAUGGAGGCGAGGGAAGUGUUCGACCAGAUGCCGGAGAGGAACGUGGUCACCUGGACGGUCAUGGUGAAGGCCUAUGCCGACCACGGCCACCUCCAGGAGGCCAUGGAGCUGUUCGACAGGAUGCCUCAGAGGAACCUGUAUUCCUGGAACAUAAUGAUCUCUUGUUCCCUCCGUGCUGGGAAAGUGGACGAGGCGGUUCGGCUGUUCGAGAGGAUGCCAGAUAGGAAUGCUGUUUCUUGGACCACGAUGGUCACAGGCUUAGCGCAGAACGGCCGUGUUUUGAUGGCACGAGAGUUCUUUGACAGAAUGCCGGAAAACAGGGACGCCGCGGCAUGGAAUGCGAUGAUUACUGCUUAUGCCAACAAUGGCCAGAUGAACAAGGCUCGGAGAUUGUUCGAUUCUAUGCCCGCAAAGGACCUGGUGAGCUGGAGUGCUAUAAUCCAUGGCUAUGCCAAAAACAAGCACAAGGGCGAAGUCAUGGGUUUAUUUCGUCUCAUGCUCCGGUCAGCAGUAUCCCCUGACAGAUUUACAUUGAUCAGUGUCUUGGUUACAUCCGAGAGCACAGUUGAAGUUGGGCAAAUCCAUGGCUUGGCUACCACACGAGGUCUCCUGUCAGACACCUCCUUAGGAAAUGCUCUGCUCACCAUGUAUUCAAGGAGCGGUGACCUGCACUCUGCCUGGCAAGUUUUCAAAAUGUUACAAGAGAAGGAUCCCAUCACAUGGACAUUGAUGAUGCGGGCCUUCGCCAACCAUGGCCGUGCCUCCUACGCGCUGCAGGCCUUUGCUCAGAUGUUGCAACAUGGAUACAAGCCCAGCUCGACCACCUUUAUCGCCGGUCUCGUCGACGAAGGCCAUGCCUUCAGGGUGCAUUGCCGCCUAAGCGUCCAAGUUGGGAACAGUGGUGGGGGAAGCUCUUCCAAAGUCUGA
rnacentral:rRNA from 1 species